GAUGAAGAACGUAGCGAAAUGCGAUAAGUAAUGUGAAUUGCAGAAUUAAGUGAAUCAUCGAAUCUUUGAACGCACCUUGCGCUCUUUGGUAUUCCGAAGAGCAUGCCUGUUUGAGUGUCAUGAAAAUAUCAACCUUGACUUGGGUUUUGUGCUCUAGUCUCGGCUUGGAAUUGGGUGCUUGCCGCUUUUACGAGCGGCUCACCUUAAAUGUAUUAGCUGGAUCUGUCUUUGAGACUUGGUUUGACUUGGCGUAAUAAGUAUUUCGCUAAGGACAUUCUUCGGAGUGGCCUCGUUUCUAGGACGCUUGUCCGCUUUCCAAUACAAGUUCCACCUCGUGGACAUGACUUUUUAUUAUCUGGCCUCAAAUCAGGUAGGACUACCCGCUGAACUUAAGCAUAUCAAUAAGCGGAGGA
rnacentral:misc_RNA from 1 species